GACGAGGUGGCCGAGCGGUCUAAGGCGCUAGAUUCAGGUCUACCUGGGAAACUCCAGGGGUACAUUCUAGUCCGAAAGGGCGUGGGUUCAAAUCCCAUCCUCGUCA